UUGCGUCUCUAGCUGUUCGUUGGGUAGAUAUGGAAUAACGAAAGGCGGAAAAGCCGUGGAAUGUUGAUUCCCUUGGUCGCUGGUGGUAAAACGAUGACGGUGACUCCGCCUUUUGACAGAUACGUUUUGUUUACCAGUAACCGCUACCGCCCCCGUAGCUCCAGGUCGUGGCUUCGUUUUGCUCCACGAGCCCUGUGAGAUACGUCCCAGAGAACUGAGAUGCCUCUCCAUAGAUCCACCUCAUAAUAACUGAGGUGGCUGGCCGAAACAUGCUGAGGUUUCUCUCAAGGCGCAGAGCGAGGAGCGUCAGAGGCCAGUCUGCCUCCUCGCAGAUCAAGAACCAACGCCUGCUCAGCAAUAAGAAUGUCGUUCAAUGUAGAGUCAUCCUUUUGGAUGGCACGGACUUGCCUAUCGAACUAUCGAAAAAAGCACUGGCCAGUGAUCUGUACGAACAGGUGUUCUAUAGUUUAGAUCUGAUAGAGAAGGAUUACUUUGGGUUGCAGUACACCGACAGCAACAAUGUACAACAUUGGUUGGACCCUACCAAGCCUAUUAAGAAGCAGAUUAAAAUUGGUCCUCCAUAUACUCUGCGUCUGAAAGUCAAGUUCUACUCGUCCGAGCCCAAUACCUUGAGGGAAGAACUUACCCGCUAUCAGUUUUUCCUGCAGCUAAAACAAGAUGUCUUGGAGGGACGUUUGCACUGCCCUUACCCAGUUGCCAUUCAGUUGGCAGCUCUUGCUCUGCAAUCCGAGCUUGGUGACUACGACCCAUCGGUGCACAGCGCGGCGACCGUCUCCGAGUUUCGUUUCGUGCCUAACCAGACCGAGCAGAUGGAGUUGGAGAUUUUCGAAGAGUACUCGAAGUGUUCCGGUCUCAGUCCAGCGCAAGCUGAAUCCGCGUACCUCAGCAGAGCGAAAUGGCUGGAAAUGUACGGGGUGGACAUGCACACGGUUCUAGGGAAAGACGCGUGUGAGUACUCCCUAGGGUUGACUCCAACCGGGAUUCUGGUCUUCGAAGGUUCCCAGAAGAUCGGCCUGUUCUUCUGGCCCAGGAUCGGCAAGCUUGACUUCAAGAAGAAGAAGCUGACCCUGGUGGUCGUAGAGGAGGAUGACGAGGGUAGGGGCGAGCAGGAACACACGUUCGUCUUCCGACUGGUCAACGAAAAGGCCUGCAAGCACCUCUGGAAGUGCGCCGUGGAGCACCACGCCUUCUUCCGAUUAAGGGCACCGGUGAAGGGUGCCAACGGUAGACAGAAUUUCUUCCGAAUGGGGUCUAGGUUUCGCUACAGCGGCAAAACCGAGUUCCAGACCACCCAGCUCAACCGCGCUAGGCGCACCGUCCAGUUUGAGCGGCGUCCAAGCCAGAGAUACGCGAGACGACAAAGCCACAUCCUGAGGGAAAGGCAACGGCAGCAAGUCGAUCAAACUCCUCAGUCAUCUGCUGUUCCAGUUCCAGUCAACGAGGAGAACCUUCAGCGGCAGCCAAGCAAGUCCAGCUCGAAGUCCUCCGACUCCAGCGUUCAACGGACCUCGUCUCCGCUGGUGGACUCUCUUCUGAAAUCCCUUGCCAAGGAGCAGCAGCCCUUGGAGCCUAGAAAUCAAACUGUGAUCGCCAGUAACGAAAAGGAAGCCGAGCCCGUCAAGGCUUGCCUAACUUCCGAUGCCAUAUCCGUCCAGCAGCUCCAACCGGUGCCCAACAACCAGGUUGGCGGUGCCUCCUCGCUGCCUCCGCGGACUCCGAUUCCCCCCGAGUCGCUGAAAUGCAACAUCCUAAAGGCAAAAGCUCUCGAGCAGGGGAAGAAUUCCAAUCUGAUCUCCAUCACCUCUGUAGAGGGUGGUACCGUGCUCUCCGAGCAGAGCCAAUCUUCCGAAGCGGCCACCAUUGUCUCGGUGGGAGGAGACAAAUUAACAUUGUCGGUCAGUGGUGCAACAGUGGUGCCCCCACCGGUGGACGACGCAGUCACGGUGACGCACUUCUCGGUGGACAGUUGGGGCCAAAUCGAGCAGAAGACUACGGCACUCAGUCCUAAAGUAGCGAACCAAUCUCAGAACCCUUUCAAUCCGUUUAUGAAUGACACAUCUAGUGAUGUCAGUAUCAUUAACGACGUCGUCAGCGAAGAGCUUAGGAAGGACGGCCCCGAAGAGGUGAAGAAGAACACCAACCCGUUCAUAGAUUCAAACCCAUUCCUGGGCCUGUUGAACCCGUUCAAAGAUGAUCCCCCCGUCCAGGAGAAGAAGACCGAACUCGAGAAGGAAGUGGAGAAGACCAACGGGGCCAGGAUCGUAAAAACGGAAGAGAUCGAGACGACGACCACGACUCUGGCUCACAAGCAGGAAACUCUCGCGGUCUCCGAUAUCAGUCCCUGGCUCGUUUCGGAUCCCUCCCAGGCCGCCGCUAGUGCUCCGACACCGUCUAAACACACUGUCAUUACUAGGAAAACAGUAAUUACCACGCAGCUAUAGGUUUGAUAAAUAUAUAUAUAUAUAUAAGAUAUUUUAUUUAUGUGCAAACAUUCCUGAAAGUAAGAUAUGUAAUGUAGUGAUAUUUCUUGCCGCAUUCGACUUGGGCCGAGUGCGACCUUCGCAAUGUUAGAUCUAAGACGCCGAGGACGAUCAAGACUGGAUACAGUGUGAAAGUGGCCUUACUCGUGAAAACUAACAACUUUUGCUAACUGUGACCAUCGGGAGGUUGUAUGGUAAACCGCAUUGCAGAGGCGGUUUAAGGUACGACGACCAUCGCCGAGAGGAAGAACCGAGAAGUGGCCGUUCAAGAGGCCAUCCCUCCCAGCGGUGUAAUAAAACAAUCAUGCCGGCGUAAUCUCCGUGUAAAAGCGAAUUAUUACCAAUAGUCGCACGACAAUGAAGGAGCUUUUCGGACCGCGAGUCUUCGCCUCGCGAGUCCUGGCCCUCCUUCGGCUUUGAAAGUACCGUCCCCAAGCCCUGGCUGU